AUUGAACGCUGGCGGCAUGCUUUACACAUGCAAGUCGAACGGCAGCGCGGGCUUCGGCCUGGCGGCGAGCGGCGAACGGGUGAGUAAUACAUCGGAACGUGCCCAGUAGUGGGGGAUAGCUCGGCGAAAGCCGGAUUAAUACCGCAUACGACCUGAGGGUGAAAGCGGGGGAUCUUCGGACCUCGCGCUAUUGGAGCGGCCGAUGGCAGAUUAGCUAGUUGGUGGGGUAAAGGCCUACCAAGGCGACGAUCUGUAGCUGGUCUGAGAGGACGACCAGCCACACUGGGACUGAGACACGGCCCAGACUCCUACGGGAGGCAGCAGUGGGGAAUUUUGGACAAUGGGCGAAAGCCUGAUCCAGCAAUGCCGCGUGUGUGAUGAAGGCCUUCGGGUUGUAAAGCACUUUUGACGGGAACGAAAAGGACUGUGCCAAUACCACGGUUCGAUGACGGUACCCGCAGAAUAAGCACCGGCUAACUACGUG
rnacentral:rRNA from 1 species